rnacentral:ncRNA from 1 species
UACCUAUCCAGAGAGGUGGAGGGACAGGCCCUAUGAAACCCGGCAACCAGCGAAAGCAUGGUGCCAAUACCGGCGAAUAUUUUCGCAAUGAUGGGGU